GACAUAGGUGGCAAGCGUUAUUCGGAAUUACUAGGCGUAAAGCGAGUGUAGGCGGACGAUUAAGUCCGAUGUUAAAUCUCCAGGCUUAACUUGGAGUCGCAUCGGAUACUGGUCGCCUCGAGUGGGGUAGGGGGGCAGCGGGAAUUCCCGGUGUAGCGGUGAAAUGCGUAGAUAAUCGGGGAGGAACACCUAUGGCGAAAAGCAGCUGCCUGGGCCUUUACUGACGCUAAGACUCGAAAGCUGGGGGAGCAAACAGG
rnacentral:rRNA from 1 species